rnacentral:rRNA from 1 species
UACGUAGGGGGCAAGCGUUAUCCGGAAUUACUGGGUGUAAAGGGAGAGUAGGCGGCAUGGUAAGUUAGAUGUGAAAGCCCGGGGCUUAACCUCGGGAUUGCAUUUAAAACUAUCAAGCUAGAGUACAGGAGAGGUAAGUGGAAUUCCUAGUGUAGCGGUGAAAUGCGUAGAUAUUAGGAGGAACACCAGUGGCGAAGGCGGCUUACUGGACUGUAACUGACGUUGAGGCUCGAAAGCGUGGGGAGCAAACAGG